rnacentral:SRP_RNA from 1 species
GGCCAGGAACCAUGCGGGGAGCCGCCGCCUAACCCCGCCAGGUCCGGAAGGAAGCAACGGUAAGCGGCCGGCUCCGGCGCCGUGACCCUCCUGGCGGGG